rnacentral:rRNA from 1 species
GACGAACGCUGGCGGCGUGCUUAACACAUGCAAGUCGAACGGAAAGGCCAUGCUUUUGCGGGUUGCACGAGUGGCGAACGGGUGAGUAUCACGUGAGUAUCCUGUACCUACAUUUGGGAUAUCUUCAGGAAACUGGGGAUCAUACCGGGUAGGAUCUACUGCUGCAUGUUGUGCGAUGGUUAGUUUCGGCGGUUGGGGCUGGACUCGCUGCUUAUCCGCUUGUUUGGGGGGUAGGGGCUUACCAAGGCUUCGAAGGGUAGCCCGCCUGGGAGGGUGACCGGCCACCAUGGGCCUGAGAGACGGCCCAGACGCCUACGGGAGGCAGCAGUGGGGAAUAUUGCACAAUGGGCGGAAGCCUGAGGCAACAACGCCGCGUGCGGGAUGACGUGCUUCGGGUUGUAAACCACUUUCGCCUUUAACGAAGCGUGAGUGACGGUAAUGGGUAAAAAAGCACCGGCUAACUACGUG